rnacentral:rRNA from 1 species
GGUAGCCGGCCUGAGAGGGCGACCGGCCACACUGGGACUGAGACACGGCCCAGACUCCUACGGGAGGCAGCAGUGGGGAAUAUUGGGCAAUGGANGAAANUCUGACCCAGCGACGCCGCGUGMGGGAUGAAGGCCUUCGGGUUGUAAACCKCUUUCAGCAGGGAAGAAGCGAAAGUGACGGUACNUGCAGAAGAAGCACCGGCUAACUAUGUGCCAGCAGCCGCGGUAAUACAUAGGGUGCAAGCGUUGUCCGGAAUUAUUGGGCGUAAAGAGCUCGUAGGUGGUUNGUNACGUCGGAUGUGAAAAUCURGGGCUCAACCCNAGACCUGCAUYCGAUACGGGCNAGCUWGAGUKUGGUAGGGGA